GACGAACGCUGGCGGCGUGCCUAAUACAUGCAAGUAGAACGCUGAAGGAGGAGCUUGCUUCUCUGGAUGAGUUGCGAACGGGUGAGUAACGCGUAGGUAACCUGCCUGGUAGCGGGGGAUAACUAUUGGAAACGAUAGCUAAUACCGCAUAAUAGUAGAUGUUGCAUGACAUUUGCUUAAAAGGUGCAAUUGCAUCACUACCAGAUGGACCUGCGUUGUAUUAGCUAGUUGGUGGGGUAACGGCUCACCAAGGCGACGAUACAUAGCCGACCUGAGAGGGGGAUCGGCCACACUGGGACUGAGACACGGCCCAGACUCCUACGGGAGGCAGCAGUAGGGAAUCUUCGGCAAUGGACGGAAGUCUGACCGAGCAACGCCGCGUGAGUGAAGAAGGUUCUCGGAUCGUAAAGCUCUGUUGUAAGAGAAGAACGAGUGUGAGAGUGGAAAGUUCACACUGUGACGGUAUCUUACCAGAAAGGGACGGCUAACUACGUG
rnacentral:rRNA from 1 species